rnacentral:rRNA from 1 species
GAGCUCAAAUUUGAAAUCUGGCAGUCUUCGAUUGUCCGAGUUGUAAUCUAUAGAGGCGUUUUCCGUGCCGGACCGUGUCCAAGUCUCCUGGAAAGGAGUAUCAAAGAGGGUGAUAAUCCCGUACUUAACACGACCACCGGUGCUCUGUGAUACGUCUUCUACGAGUCGAGUUGUUUGGGAAUGCAGCUCAAAAUGGGUGGUGAAUUCCAUCUAAAGCUAAAUAUUGGCGAGAGACCGAUAGCGAACAAGUACCGUGAGGGAAAGAUGAAAAGCACUUUGGAAAGAGAGUUAAACAGUACGUGAAAUUGUUGAAAGGGAAACGAUUGAAGUCAGUCGUGUUCUUUGGAUUCAGCCAGUUCUGCUGGUCUACUUCCUUGGAACGGGUCAACAUCAGUUUUGUCCGGUGGAUAAAGGUAGUAGGAAUGUGACUUCUCCGGAAGUGUUAUAGCCUAUUAUCACAUACACUGGGUGAGACUGAGGACUGCAGCUCGCCUUUAUGGCCGGUCUUCGGACACGUUCGAGCUUAGGAUGUUGACAUAAUGGCUUUAAACGACCCGUCUUGA